AGCCUGUAUAGCUCAGCGAUAGAGCAACUGACUUGUAAUCAGUAGGUCGGGGGUUUGAAUCCCUCUACAGGCUU
rnacentral:tRNA from 1 species